GACGGAGGAUGCAAGUGCUAUCCGGAGUCACUGGGCGUAAAGCGUCUGUUGGUGGUCCAAUAAGUCAACUGUUAAAUCUUGGGGCUCAACCUCAAAAUCGCAGUCGAAACUAUUAGACUAGAGUAUAGUAGGGGUAAAGGGAAUAUCCAGUGGAGCGGUGAAAUGCGUAGAUAUUGGAAAGAACACCGAUGGCGAAGGCACUUUACUGGGCUAUUACGAACACUCAGAGACGAAAGCUAGGGUAGCAAAUGGG
rnacentral:rRNA from 1 species